GGCUGGUCCGACGGUAAUGAGUUAUCUCACUGGAUUGUUCACUGUCAGUUACAGAUUGAACUCCUUAUUCUGUUCUUUCCCCCUUUCUCAUUACUGACCUUGACCAGUCUUUA
ensembl:misc_RNA Y_RNA Y RNA